UUGGGUGUAGUGUAACGGCAACACGCUGACCUGUGGAGUCAGAAAAGGGGGUUCAACUCCCCUCACCCACC
rnacentral:tRNA from 1 species